UUUUUUUUUUCCCCACAGCAACCAUCCUAGAAGUGCUAGGUUCCCAGGAUAGCCCAAACAGUCUGGAUGCAUCUCAGGUCACUCAGAAGUCACAACCAUCACCUACAGUAAUAGAGCUACAGUCUACAGAUGCUACUUCAUAGAGGCCAGCAUCCGCAGAUCUCAGCCAUUAACUUGCAGGAUGGUGCCAAGAGGUGGUGCACACUCGGAAAAGAGAUGCUUCUAACUCAGAGAUGCUAGCACCUUCCAAAGUCAGCUCAGCUCUGCCAAUUUGUCUGUCUUACUGUCAUCUGAAACUACCUCCGCCAUGGUACAGCUGAAAGAAUACUAUUUGUUUUCCAAAUGAGCCACCUGCCCCAGAGCCUCCUGUUUGAACACUACAGCUAAUUAAAGGAAGCUUAGCAGCU